UGGGUUGUGGCUCAGUGGUAGAGCACUGGCCUAGCAUGUGUUGAGGCACUGAGUUUGAUUCUCAGCACCACAU
rfam:Ictidomys tridecemlineatus contig035353, whole genome shotgun sequence.